rnacentral:rRNA from 1 species
CCUAGGGGGCAGCAGUGGGGAAUAUUGCACAAUGGGCGAAAGCCUGAUGCAGCGCCGCCGCGUGAGGGAUGAAGGCCUUAGGGUUGUAAAACUCUUUCAGCAGGGAAGAAGCGCAAGUGACGGUACCUGCAGAAGAAGCGCCGGCUCACUACGUGCCAGCAGCCGCGGUAAUACGUAGGGCGCAAGCGUUGUCCGGAAUUAUUGGGCGUAAAGAGCUCGUAGGCGGUUUGUCGCGUCUGGUGUGAAAACUCGAGGCUCAACCUCGAGCUUGCAUCGGGUACGGGCAGACUAGAGUGCGGUAGGGGAGACUGGAAUUCCUGGUGUAGCGGUGGAAUGCGCAGAUAUCAGGAGGAACACCGAUGGCGAAGGCAGGUCUCUGGGCCGCAACUGACGCUGAGGAGCGAAAGCAUGGGGAGCGAACA